UGGCGUAAGCCAAUGUAUUAACUUAAUACAUUAUCGAUUAUGUCGAAUAAAGUUCUAGGUAGGAUAAUGAUAAUGACAAUUUUCUAUCUAUAUGUCUUGACCAACUCACGUGCCAGCAGUCGCGGUAAUACGUGGAAGACUAGUGUUAUUCAUCUUUAAUAGGUUUAAAGGGUACCUAGACGGUAUUUUUAGCCCCAAAAGGGUACUUAUUUACUAGAGUUUUAUGUGAGAAGGCAGAAAUCUGGGAAUAGAGUUGUAAUUCAGUUAUCCCCAGGUAACUGGUAAUGGCGAAAGCAGCCUUCUAUGUAAAAACUGACGUUGAGGGACGAAGGCCGGGGUAGCGAAUAGGAUUAGAUACCCUAGUAGUCCAGGCAGAAAAUUAUGAAUGUCAUAGAUUAGAUUAAUUUUGGUUUAUAAAUGAAAGUGUAAGCAUUCCACCUCAAGAGUAAUGCGGCAACGCAGGAACUGAAAUCAUUAGACCGUUUCUGAAACCAGUAGUGAAGUAUGUUAUUUAAUUCGAUGAUCCGCGAAAAACCUUACCACAAUUUGAAUAUUAUUUAUAUAAUACAAGCGUUGCACGGCUGUCUUCAGUUAAUGUCGUGAGAUUUGGUUAGUUCCAUAAAAUUGACGUAAACCCUUGCUUUAUUUUUUUGUUUUUAAAUAAAGUAGUUCACCAUUAUAUUGGAUAUGAUAAUAGGGACCAAGACAAGUCAUCAUGGCCUGAAUAUUGUG
rnacentral:rRNA from 1 species